rnacentral:rRNA from 1 species
GAUGAACGCUAGCGGCAGGCCUAAUACAUGCAAGUCGAACGGUGUCUUCGGACAUAGUGGCGCACGGGUGCGUAACACGUAUGCAACCUACCUUACAUUGGGGGAUAGCCUUUCGAAAGGGAGAUUAAUACCGCAUAAGACAGUAGCUGGGCAUCCAGCAGCUGUUAAAGAUUUAUCGAUGUAAGCUGGGCAUGAGUCCAAUUAGCUAGUUGGUGAGGUAACGGCUCACCAAGGCAAUGAUUGGUAGGGGAACUGAGAGGUCAAUCCCCCACACUGGCACUGAGAUACGGGCCAGACUCCUACGGGAGGCAGCAGUAGGGAAUAUUGGGCAAUGUACGCAAGUCUGACCCAGCCAUGCCGCGUGCAGGAUGAAGGCGUUAUGCGUUGUAAACUGCUUUUAUACAGGAAGAAACGACUCUUGCGAGAGGCAUUGACGGUACUGUAUGAAUAAGCACCGGCUAACUCCGUGCCAGCCGCCGCCGUAAUAC